rnacentral:misc_RNA from 1 species
GAAAUGCGAUAAUUAAUGUGAAUUGCAGAAUUCAGUGAAUCAUCGAGUCUUUGAACGCACAUUGCGCCCCCUGGUAUUCCGGGGGGCAUGCCUGUCCGAGCGUCAUUGCUGCCCUCAAGCCCGGCUUGUGUGUUGGGCUUCCGUCCCUGGCAACGGGGACGGGCCCAAAAGGCAGUGGCGGCACCAUGUCUGGUCCUCGAGCGUAUGGGGCUUUGUCACCCGCUCCCGUAGGUCCAGCUGGCAGCUAGCCUCGCAACCAAUCUUUUUAACCAGGUUGACCUCGGAUCAGGUAGGGAUACCCGCUGAACUUAAGC